GGUCCAGCUCCUCCGCUUGUCUGAAAUCCAGUCCCAGGUCCUCCAAAACCUGUUCCACUCCCACCUGGUCCAAAUCCAGUCCCAGGUCCUGCACCAGUGCCUACUCCAGCUCCAGCUCCUCCACCAGCACCGACAGCCUGAUCUUGCAUAAAUUCAAGUGACAACAACGUAACGUUGUGUUGAAACAGGAGAAGAGGUUAAACAGAAUCAGGAGGCAAUGUCACUAAAUCUGACUGGAAUAAGAAUCUGCAAAGGAACUAAGGACGUGCUGCACAGCUGCACAAAAGGCAAUUAAUAAGGGACCCACCUCCUUCAAGUGAUGGUUUCCACAGAGCCAGGAGAAGGACUCCAUGUAGUUCUGCAUCUGCUGACUCUGUGGUCUCAAAGUGCCGGCUUCUUAUCAUCAUGAUGUCUAUCCAAACGUUAGUGCUGCUGUGGGUAAGUGAAACUGCCCAUGUUUCUGUCAGACCUGAUGAUACUAAGCAGUUGUGCACACUCUCACACUGUAUCACAUGCCCUUACUCAUGCACAUCACCUACGUGCACCACAUAGGUUUCGUACAGAAGCCUACUUGGCUAACUCCUACAUUUGGCACUGAAACCCCUUUGGUUUCUGUGUUGAAGACUUCUGGGUCAAUAGGAACGCAGAAGUGAGUAAAGGUUCUUGAUAUUAUUUAUCAGAAGAGAGCUGAGUGAGAAAUGUUUGAUGCGAGAUUGAUGUCACGUACCUUAUUUGGAGAAAGACCUACGGAGCCUUAUCCUGCUUGGGAGACGGAGGCUAAAUAAAAUGUGUUCACACAAAGAGAAUGUCAGCAUCACUUAUACCAAAACGUCCUGUGUGAAUAGGCAUCUACUCGUGGUUUUAGUUUGAAAAAGAAAUUCUUCUUACUGUACUGUGGUACAGUAGAUCUGUGGGUCAAAUCGACCCAAAAGGAGAGGGUUGUUGCACGAAGUGUGUCAAACAGAAAUCACAGUGAACCCUCCAGCUGUGACGAUCCCCGUCGAAGGGACAAGCUGAAAUCAAUGUAUCUAUGGAUCAAUGGAUUUAUACAUUUAAACCUCUCCAUAAUAUGGUCUUAGUGCAGUGCCCGAUAGAGGUGAGUGAUGGUCUUUACUGCGACUGUUUGUUUUUUAACUAUAUCACAUAGAGACAGCCUGAAUGGUCAUAUAAAUCACUAUGCUGUGGAACUCAUAAUAAUGUCAUCAGGUUUAGCAUGGCGCUGGAGUCGUCUACUGCGAUGUACUUCAGUAAUACAUCAACAUGUGAUUAGGCAAAACCUUCUUAACCGCGGGUAAUUGGACU